rnacentral:tRNA from 1 species
GGGCGCUUAGCUCAGUUUGGUCAGAGCGCCAGCUUUACACGCUGGAUGUCACAGGUUCGAGUCCUGUAGCGCCCA